rnacentral:lncRNA from 1 species
GGCUGGGGAAGCCCAGACCCAGAGCGGGGGCGAGGGCGAGUCGGGCCGGGGUUCUAUCGCUGUCAUCCAGGGCCCGCCCGCCCACCUCAGGGACCGUGAGAGCGAACCGGGAGUGCGGGGGAGGAGCGGCUGGGCCCGCCUGGGCAGGGGCCGCCCAGGAGAGGCGGGGCCUUGACCCCGGGCCUCGAUCUAUGGCACGGUGUCUUUCCGGGUGUCGCUGGGAAAUUGAGGAUAGGAAGUCACGGCCACUUGGUUCUUGGGACACUGUAUAGCAGUGAGCUGCCUUGCCUCUGCCACCUGUCGGUGGGAUGGGGCUGCUGGUGCCUGGGGUCCCCUGUGCUCCCCCGGAACCGAAAGGCUGUUCCCUAGUCCCCGCCGGCAAAGAGCCCACCUUUGGGGGACCGAAGUGGGGAAGCUGAUUGCCCCAAGAGAGGCCUGAUUCUUGUUCUCACCAGGAGAUAAUGGUCCUUGUGGUGAGGGGUCACUUUCCCCCCUUUAUCCAGUCCAGGUGGAG